GUGAACUGUAGCUCAGUGGUAGAGCAGCUGCCUUGCAUGCGGGUCCCUGGUUCAAUCCCCAGCAUCUCCA